rnacentral:rRNA from 1 species
UACGUAGGGGGCAAGCGUUGUCCGGAAUCAUUGGGCGUAAAGCGCGUGUAGGCGGCUUGGUAAGUCUGCUCUGAAAGCCCGGGGCUCAACCCCGGGAGGCGGGUGGAUACUGUCAAGCUCGAGUCCGGAAGAGGAGUGUGGAAUUCCUGGUGUAGCGGUGAAAUGCGCAGAUAUCGGAAGGAACACCAGUGGCGAAAGCGGCUUCCUGGUCCAGCACCGACAUUCAGGCACGAAAGCGUGGGGAGCAAACAGG